UACAGAGGGUGCAAGCGUUAUUCGGAAUUACUGGGCGUAAAGCGCGCGCGGGCUGUCUAGCAAGUCUGAUGUGAAAUCCCCUGCAAAAACAGGGACGUGCAUUAGAUACUACUAGACUAGAGUAUAGGAGGGGAGAGUGGAAUUCCUGGUGUAGAGGUGAAAUUCGCAGAUAUCAGGAGGAACAACGGUGGCGAAGGCGACUCUCUGGACUAUUACUGACGCUGAGGCGCGAAAGCGUGGGGAGCAAACAGG
rnacentral:rRNA from 1 species